AAACCAGCACCUCAAGUGGUCAGGAUGAUUAUUGGGCCUAAAGCAUCCGUAGCCGGCUCUGUAAGUUUUCGGUUAAAUCUGUACGCUUAACGUACAGGCUGCCGGAAAUACUGCAGGGCUAGGGAGUGGGAGAGGUAGACGGUACUCGGGAGGAAGGGGUAAAAUCCUUUGAUCUCUCGAUGACCACCUGUGGCGAAGGCGGUCUACCAGAACACGUCCGACGGUGAGGGAUGAAAGCUGGGGGAGCAAACCGGAUUAGAAACCCGAGUAGUCC
rnacentral:rRNA from 1 species